AACUAUAACGGUCCUAAGGUAGCGAAAUUCCUUGUCGGGUAAGUUCCGACCCGCAUGAAAGGCGUAAUGAUUUGGGCACUGUCUCAACGAGGGGCCCGGUGAAAUUGAAAUACCUGUGAAGAUGCAGGUUACCCGCGACUGGACAGAAAGACCCCAUGGAGCUUUACUGCAGCUUGAGAUGGAAUCUCGGAAGUAGAUGCACAGGAUAGGUGGGAGACAAAGAAGUAUGUACUUAGGUAUGUAUGGAGUCGAUGUUGGGAUACCACCCUUCUAGUUCUGGGAUUCUAACGCCAGGAGUAACGACCCUGCGGACAAUCUCAGGUAGGCAGUUUGACUGGGGCGGUCGCCUCCGAAAGAGUAACGGAGGCGCCCAAAGGUUCCCUCAGGUCGGACAGAAACCGACCGACGAGUGCAAAGGCAGAAGGGAGCUUGACUGCGAGACCAACAAGUCGAGCAGAGACGAAAGUCGGGCUUAGUGAUCCGGUGGUACUGUGUGGAAAGGCCAUCGCUCAACGGAUAAAAGCUACCCUGGGGAUAACAGGCUAAUCUCUCCCAAGAGUUCAUAUCGACGGGGAGGUUUGGCACCUCGAUGUCGGCUCAUCACAUCCUGGGGCUGGAGUAGGUCCCAAGGGUUGGGCUGUUCGCCCAUUAAAGUGGUACGCGAGCUGGGUUCAAAACGUCGUGAGACAGUUUGGUUCAUAUCCAUCGCGGGCGUAAGAAGUUUGAGGGGGGCUGCUCCUAGUACGAGAGGACCGGAGUGGACGAAUCAAUGGUGUACCAGUUGUCACGCCAGUGGCAUGGCUGGAAAGCCACAUUCGGAAGGGAUAAACGCUGAAAGCAUCUAAGCGUGAAGCCCACCCCAAGAUGAGACUUCUCAUCAGAAAUGAGUAAGAUCCCUUAUAGACUAUGAGGUAGAUAGGCCGCAAGUGGAAGAGCAGUGAUGUUUGGAGCGAUGCGGUACUAAUAGAUCGAGGUCUUAACUUA
rnacentral:rRNA from 1 species